CGUAGGUAGUUUGGUAAGCGAGAUGUGAAAGCCCCGGGCUUAACCUGGGAACGGCAUUUCGAACUGUCAGACUAGAGUGUGGUAGAGGGUAGUGGAAUUUCCUGUGUAGCGGUGAAAUGCGUAGAUAUAGGAAGGAACACCAGUGGCGAAGGCGGCUACCUGGACCAACACUGACACUGAGGUGCGGAAGCGUGGGGAGCAAACA
rnacentral:rRNA from 1 species